rnacentral:rRNA from 1 species
UAUCGGCGGAUGGGUGAGUAACACGUGGGCAAUCUGCCCUAAAGACUGGGAUACCACUUGGAAACAGGUGCUAAUACCGGAUAACAACAUGAAUCGCAUGAUUCAAGUUUGAAAGGCGGCGCAAGCUGUCACUUUAGGAUGAGUCCGCGGCGCAUUAGCUAGUUGGUGGGGUAAAGGCCUACCAAGGCAAUGAUGCGUAGCCGAGUUGAGAGACUGAUCGGCCACAUUGGGACUGAGACACGGCCCAAACUCCUACGGGAGGCAGCAGUAGGGAAUCUUCCACAAUGGACGCAAGUCUGAUGGAGCAACGCCGCGUGAGUGAAGAAGGCUUUCGGGUCGUAAAACUCUGUUGUUGGAGAAGAACGUGUGUGAGAGUAACUGUUCAUGCAGUGACGGUAUCCGACCAGAAAGCCACGGCUAACUACGUGCCAGCAGCCGCGGUAAUACGUAGGUGGCAAGCGUUAUCCGGAUUUAUUGGGCGUAAAGCGAGCGCAGGCGGUUUUUUAAGUCUGAUGUGAAAGCCUUCGGCUUAACCGAAGAAGGGCAUCGGAAACUGGGAAACUUGAGUGCAGAAGAGGACAGUGGAACUCCAUGUGUAGCGGUGAAAUGCGUAGAUAUAUGGAAGAACACCAGUGGCGAAGGCGGCUGUCUGGUCUGUAACUGACGCUGAGGCUCGAAAGCAUGGGUAGCGAACAGGAUUAGAUACCCUGGUAGUCCAUGCCGUAAACGAUGAAUGCUAGGUGUUAGAGGGUUUCCGCCCUUUAGUGCCGCAGCUAACGCAUUAAGCAUUCCGCCUGGGGGAGUACGACCGCAAGGUUGAAACUCAAAGGAAUUGACGGGGGCCCGCACAAGCGGUGGAGCCAUGUGGGUUUAAUUCGAAGCAACGCGAAGAACCUUACCAGGUCUUGACAUCCUUUGCCAACCUGAAAAGAUCAGGCGUUCCCUUCGGGGACAAAGUGAACAGGUGGGGGCAUGGUUGUCCUCAGC